AUGCUGAGAUUUUUGUAGGUAUCACUUCAAGAGAGGAAAGUUUCUCUUACGAGUGUUUUCCCUUGGCAUUAUGCAAGCAUCCAGUUACCUUUGAUAGGCCCUGAAAUGAUGAAAGAGACGAAGGGAAUUUGCAGGUGUACAGGUAGAAUGAGACAUUUAGGAAACACAUUUUCAACAGUAUAUUUUUUAGGUUCAUUUGAAGAGGUCACAGUGAGCCUAUCAGUAAUAGUUAACAGGGGUCAUUGCUCGUAUGGAUGUGCAUGAUAAUGUGGGCCUAAAACACAGCCCAGCCCAUCUGAUCUUCCCUUAUAUAGGUAAGUGGUGGUGUCCCUAACACUUCUGUUACUAUGAUUUUGUUGUAGCUGUUCAAGUAAGAAAUGAUAGAGCUCUUACCAAUUUAAAAAAACAUUAUUUUUCUCACUUUUUAUAUUUUAGAAUAACUUUAUGAUUAACCUCUGAGUUUUGAGUGAUAGUGCCUAUCCUGGUUAUUGGUGUUUCUUACCACAGCAGUAACCAGGGGAUUUUUACAGGUGUCCUGUCAAGAAAUGACCGUCUUACCUGACAGUGGUAUUGAUCUUGCAUUAUUACAAGUAUCCAGGUAGAGUUUAUGUGUUCUGUAAUGAUGGAGUGACGAAGGUUAUUUUCAGAUGUCUUGGUGGAAAUGUUUGUGUCCUUUAACACAUAUUUCACAAUGUGUAUUUCAGGUUUCUGUAGUGAGACCCUGAUAAACCUAACAAUGGUUGGUAUGGCAGACAUUUCUGGUAUGCAGGCAAGUGAUGAUGUGUUCUUUAACCACAUCAUAGACCAUCAGAUCUUCUUAUAUCUUUUUUUUUUUUUUUUUUGACAGAGUCUCGCUUUGUCACCCAGGCUGGAGUGCAGUGGGGUGAUCUCGGCUCACUGCAGCCUCCACCUCCCAGGUUCAAGCGAUUCUCGUGCCUCUGCAUCCUGAAUAGCUGGGAUUACAGGUGUGCACCACCACAUCCUGCUGAUUUUUGUAUUUUGAGAGAUGGGGUUUUGGCACGUUGGCCAAGCUGGUCUCGAACUCCUGGCUUCAAGCAGUCCACCCACCUUGGCCUCCCAAAGUGCUGGAAUUACAGGCGUGCACCACCACGCCCGGCCAGAUCUUCAUAUAUCUAAGAUCCUGUCAAGAAGACAUGGUAAACCUCAUCAUGAUCAAGAAUGAGACUUUGCUUGCAUCCAGGCUUCCCAAAAGUUGUUUGAUAGUAUACAGGCAUGAGAUGGUGUGACUCUAACUCAUUAGAUGCCUUCGUCUUUUCAGUCAUCAUGUGAUGGAAAGAAAGCUAUCAACUUCAUUCCUGAGACUUCCUGCAACACAGAUCCAUCUAAACUUUUACUUCAUUGGAGGGUCCUUCCUGACCCAUGCAACUCAACAAAAAACUCUCACAGUUUUUAUAUGCUUUGUUGGGGAUUAACCCAUCUUGCAUUGCAUUGCUAGCUUAGUAUGUCUAGCAUGGGCAUGCCUGCUGAAGUUUGGAACUUCCCAUCAAGGAAACAGGAAAAUGCCAUUGGCAAUGAGCUGAAGACUGAUUUACUCUACCAGUUUGGAACAUCUGUUAUUGCUGCUACUACGGUUUCUAUCACUGUUUGAUGCUGGGACUCUUAAGCUCCAACCACGUUUUCACCGAGCUGAGUCGCCUUCUUAUCACCCCUUUCUGGAGCAGCAGGACAUCUGGGGAUGAGAAGAUGGAGAGAUCAUCCUUAUAUAAUGUUGCAGUCUGGAAGCAUCACUCUCAAAAAGCCAUUGUAGAGAAUCCAAGCCGAGUUUAAGAGUGCUGUGGAAAUACACUGCUGCUACUGCUGUUUCUAUUACUGUUUGAUGCUGGGACUCUUAUGCUCCAACCACGUUUUCACCCAGCUGAGUCGCCUUCGUAUCACGCCUUUCCAAGAAAUAAAGUUCAUCACAGUGAGUCAAGAUGCCUCAUUCCAAGCUAUGGUGUAAAUUUCAUAGACUAAGAAAUGUGCAAGUUUCCUUUUUGCUAAGUAUGACACAUCACCUCUCUCUCACAAAGGGAUAUAUGUUGUUACUAAUGUAAACUCAUUAGUUUUGAUCAAUGUUUUGUGAACUCAAAAGUAUCUGAGACAGCUCUCAAUCAAUUUAGAAAGUUUAUUUUGUGAAGGUUAAGGACAUGCCCGUGACACAGCCUCAGGAGGUCCAGAUUACAUGUGCACAAGGUGGUCAGGGUACAGCUUGCCUUUAUACAUUUUAGGGAGACAUAAUACAUCAGUCAAUACAUGUAAGGUUUACAUUGUUUCGAUCUGGAAGGGUGGGGCAACUCGAAGCAGGAGUCGGGCUUCCAGGUCAUAGGUAGAUUUAAACAUUUUCUGAUUGGCAAUUGGUUGAAAGAGUUAUUAUCAGUAGAAAGAAUUGUUUGGGUUAUGAUAAGUGGUUGUGGAGGCCAAGGUUUUAUCAUGCAGAUGAAGCCUCCAGGUAGCAGGCUUCAGAGAAAUAGACUGUAAAUGUGUUUUUAUUGGACUUAAGGUCUGUGUUGAUAUUAAUGCUGGAGGGGUAUAAUGAGGCUUGUCCAACCCCCUCCUCCAUCAUGGCCUGAACUAGUUUUUCAGGUUAACUCUGGAAUGCCCUUGGCCAAAAGGAGGGGUUCAUUUAGAUGGUUGAGGGGCUUUAGAAUUUUAUUUUUGGUUCACAGGAUCAUGGUUAUAUAAGAUGUUAACAUUAGGAGAUGCUGGGUAAAAGGUAUAUGGGAACCUUCUGUACUGCCUUUGCAACUCUUCUAUAAAUCUAAAAUAAUUUCAAAA
rnacentral:lncRNA from 1 species